CUUGCCGCCGGCCGACCGGCGCACGGGUGAGUAACACGUAUGCAACCUGGCCGUGACAGAUGGAUACCGGGAAAAAUCCCGCCUAAUACAGCAUGACGCCGGGAAGGGACAUCCCUUUCCGGCCAAAGGGGGCGACUCCGGUCACGGAUGGGCAUGCGGCGCAUUAGGUAGUUGGUGGGGCAACGGCCCACCAAGCCGACGAUGCGUAGGGGUUCUGAGAGGAAGGUCCCCCACAUUGGAACUGAGACACGGUCCAAACUCCUACGGAAGGCAGCAG
rnacentral:rRNA from 1 species